rnacentral:tRNA from 1 species
GCCUUCUUGGCUCAGUUGGUUAGAGCGCAGGUCUCAUAAUCCUGAGGUCGCAAGUUCGAACCUUGCAGGGGGCA